rnacentral:lncRNA from 1 species
UUCUAUUGCCCUCAGAAAACUGGAAUCCAUUUGUAUCCUUGUCCCCCCGGGACUUACAAUCCCUCUUACGGACACAGCCAGGCUGAGAGGUGUCAGCUGUGCCCUGCAGGAAUGUUCUGUGGAGACUGGGGAUUAUCCUCUCCAAGUGGUCCCUGCUGGCCAGGAUUCUUCUGCACAGCAGGAGCAAGUGUCCCGAACCCUAAUGGAGCCACAAACACGAGCACUGGUGGCCCAUGCCCACCUGGCCACUUCUGCCCUGCUGGCACAAGUAUCCCACAGCAGUGCCCUGUGGGCACUUACUCAGACAGGCUGUACAUCGGGCAGGAGUCCAGCUGCACAGCGUGCCCAUCUGGCUAUUACUGCAGCUCUGCUGGCCUCACGGCACCCUCAGGACCCUGCUCAGCUGGGUACUACUGCCUCUCUGGAGCUUCCUCGCCAUCGCCACCUGGUGAGUUGCCCUGGGUGAAUGUCAGUGUCUUCACUUAAUUGUGUCCAAUAAUUAAGGGUGUUGACAACAGAGAGCUUUGAAAAAUGCCGGUUUUUCCCCCAGUACUCCUGCCCCUGCCUCUUCUCAGUCGUUUAAUUUUUAAUAUAAUUAAACCCUGUAUUAAUUUUGUUUGGGGUAUUCAUACAUCUGCAUACAUAACAAGUAUGAAAAAGCAGUCAGUCCCCCUGUCUGUGUUACUGAAUGCGACGCUUGCAUUGAACACUGGAAAGCUGUGGGUACCAGCCUGUAAUGGAAGCAGCCUGAUUCCCCCUUGUCAUUUUAUUGUGUAUCAGAAAGAAUAAUUUCCAGGGAAGAAUUCCAGGUCAAUUCCUGUGGACAAUUAAAUAUUCUCCAAAAUUCUUGUUACAUACAAAGCAGAGUGUUUAGAAAGCUGAUGUGCGAAAUACAGUUCACCACGGCUUUGCCUGUGAAG